rnacentral:misc_RNA from 1 species
AAGAGUUCCCAUUUAAAUCCAACCAGUUAUUUUCACUAGAAAGCCUAAGCAAGAAACUAUUUUAGAAAACUCUAUAGAGUGACAUUUUCAUGUUAAAUUGGCAAAAAUGUUCGUGCAUUUCAUUGUAAGAGCAGGAUAUAUAAAUGAGGUGUUUUUCUUUGAUUAUAUGUACUGCAUAAGCAUUAAAUCAAAAACAAGUUAAAAACAAGAGUUUCCAUUUAAUCCAACAAGUAGUUUCACCAGAAAGCCUAAGCAAGAAAAUAUUUUAGCAAACUCUAGAGAUCAACAUUUUCUUGUUAAAUUGGCAAAGAUGUCCGUGCACUUUCAUUGUAAGAGCAGGAUAUAUAAAUGAGGUGUUUUUCUUU